AAGAGCAAGAGCAUCCCACUGAACUGUUUCAGUUUCUUACAGAUGCAUGAUCAUUCGUGAAACUUUGAGGCCUUCACAGUGGGAACGACUGCAGCAGACAUGGGCACCGAGAGUGCACACUGCAGGAAUUACACACACACACGGCUGGAGAGGCUGUUGGUGACCAGGGCACAGCCUCCUUUCUGUGUCAGAGGAAAAAAACACUGACUGACAGCACUUGCCGAUUCCUGUGAUGUAAAUAGUCCCGCCUUGGCCAACGCCAAGCAGCCUACAUGAUGCCACUGGAUGCAGUAUUGGAAGAGAUGCACAGCCUGUACCAGCGGGCUCCAGCCCACUCCUGGAUGCAACACCACACACAGGAGAUGCUGAAAACAGCACGCACAGAAGAAUGCAUCCUGUAAGAUGCCAUGGUUUUCCACCGGUCCCUAUUUCUAAAUUCCAUCAGAAUGAUGAAAGAAAAGAGAUCUGUCAGGCUCCUCUGCUGGGUCCUCCUCACCUUCUCUCACCCUGAAGAGCAGGGUGCUCUGGGCUGGGUCUUGUAUGACUUCAUCC
rnacentral:lncRNA from 1 species